ACCCAGCUGGCUCAGUGGGUAGAGCAUGUGACUCUUGAUCUCAGGGUCAGGAGUUCAAGCCCCAUAUUGGGCA
rfam:Canis lupus familiaris chromosome 9, whole genome shotgun sequence.